UGCUGAUCUUGCAAUAUCUACGUACUUUCAAAGCUCAAAUUCCCGUGAGGGAUCCAGAAAGGGAAUCGGUAGGAGGAUUAUAUUAUCUUAGCUAUUUGGAUGAUAAUAUGCUUUUGGGUCGUGCUAUUGGUGGAGGUGGUGUAUUUGUGUUUACAAGAGCCCAAUCACUUUACUGAUGAGCAUUCAUCAAUAGUAGUUCAAAACUCGGACCGCUUGACAGAAAUAUUACAGUAACACUCCAUGAGCCAUCGUUACGGAAUUGAACAUAUGGAGAGAAACAAAUAGAACGGAGGCCUAUAGCCUACUACAAAGGAUUCUCCUCAAUGUAAUCUAUGUGAUAUUAUUUGAUCUUGAUACUCUUUAGGGGAAGGGGAGGGUGUGUUGUAAAUAUGUUAUGUAUCUAUUGAUUUCAUUUUUAUUGUUGUACUUGUAUAUUGAUAUAGUUUAUGUUCAAUGUAACUUUUGAUAUCAGAUUUCUAGUUGACAGUUCUUUAAA